GACGAACCACCCAAACGUUAUUCGGAAUCACUGGGCUUAAAGGGUGCGUAGGCGGUCUCGAAAGUCAGGUGUGAAAUCCCACAGCUCAACUGUGGAACUGCGCUUAAAACUACGAGGCUAGAGGGAGAUAGAGGUGAGCAGAACUGAUGGUGGAGCGGUGAAAUGCGUUGAUAUCAUCAGGAAUACCGGAGGCGAAGGCGGCUCACUGGGUCUCUUCUGACGCUGAAGCACGAAAGCUAGGGGAGCGAACGGGAUUAGAAACCCCCGUAGUCC
rnacentral:rRNA from 1 species